rfam:Candidatus Levybacteria bacterium RIFCSPLOWO2_01_FTLL_39_24 rifcsplowo2_01_scaffold_17, whole genome shotgun sequence.
GCCCUCGUAGCUCAACGGAUAGAGCAGGUCGGUUCUAACGACAAGGUUGGGGGUUCGAUUCCCUCCGGGGGCA